CCCUUAGAUGUUCUGGGCCGCACGCGCGCUACACUGAUGCAUUCAACGAGCCUAUCCUUGACCGACAGGUCCGGGUAAUCUUUGAAUCUGCGUCGUGACGGGGAUAGAUUAUUGCAAUUAUUAAUCUUCAACGAGGAAUGCCUAGUAGGCGCAAGUCAUCAGCUUGCGUCGAUUACGUCCCUGCCCUUUGUACACACCGCCCGUCGCUCCUACCGAUUGGGUGUGCUGGUGAAAUGUUCGGAUCGGCCGUUUGUCGCGGUUUCCGCGGCUCGUGGCUGAGAAGUUCAUUAAACCCUCCCACCUAGAGGAAGGAGAAGUCGUAACA
rnacentral:rRNA from 1 species